AUACGUAGGGUGCGAGCGUUGUCCGGAAUUACUGGGCGUAAAGAGCUCGUAGGUGGUUUGUCGCGUCGUCUGUGAAAUUCCGGGGCUUAACUCCGGGCGUGCAGGCGAUACGGGCAUAACUUGAGUACUGUAGGGGAGACUGGAAUUCCUGGUGUAGCGGUGAAAUGCGCAGAUAUCAGGAGGAACACCGGUGGCGAAGGCGGGUCUCUGGGCAGUAACUGACGCUGAGGAGCGAAAGCAUGGGUAGCGAACAGGAUUAGAUACCCUGGUAGUCCAUGCCGUAAACGGUGGGGGCUAGGUGUAGGGGUCUUCCACGACUUCUGUGCCGUAGCUAACGCAUUAAGCGCCCCGCCUGGGGAGUACGGCCGCAAGGCUAAAACUUAAAGGAAUUGACGGGG
rnacentral:rRNA from 1 species